rnacentral:rRNA from 1 species
GACGAACGCUGGCGGCGUGCUUAACACAUGCAAGUCGAACGCUGAAGCUCAGCUUUUGUUGGGUGGAUGAGUGGCGAACGGGUGAGUAACACGUGAGUAACCUGCCCCCUUCUUUGGGAUAACGCCCGGAAACGGGUGCUAAUACUGGAUAUUCACUGGUCUUCGCAUGGGGGUUGGUGGAAAGGGUUUUUCUGGUGGGGGAUGGGCUCGCGGCCUAUCAGCUUGUUGGUGGGGUGAUGGCCUACCAAGGCUUUGACGGGUAGCCGGGCUGAGAGGGUGAACGGUCACUGUGGGACGGAGAAGCGGCCCAGAGUCGGACGGGGGGCAGCAGUGGGGAAUAUUGGAGAAAGGGCGCAAGCGUGAUGCAGCGACGCCGAGUGAGGGAUGGGGGCCUUCGGGUUGUGUACCUCUUUCGCUCAUGGUCAAGCCGCAACAAUGGUUGUGGUGAGGGUAGUGGAUAAAGAAGCGCCGGCUAACUACGUG